AUGCUCGCUUCGGCAGCACAAACACUAAAAUUGGAACAAUACAGAAAAGAUUAGCAUGGCCCCUGCGCAAGGACGACACACAAAUUCAUGAAGUAUUCUGUAUUUUU
rnacentral:snRNA from 1 species